rnacentral:rRNA from 1 species
UUCGAUUCCGGAGAAGGAGCCUGAGAAACGGCUACUACAUCUAAGGAAGGCAGCAGGCGCGUAAAUUACCCAAUCCUAAAUCAGGGAGGUAGUGACAAGAUAUAACAACGCGAUUAAAUGUCGCGAUUGUAGUGAGGGUAUUCUAAAAAUAGCUUCGAGUACGAUUGGAGGGCAAGUCUGGUGCCAGCAGCCGCGGUAAUUCCAGCUCCAAUAGCGUAUAUUAAAGUUGCUGCAGUUAAAAAGCUCGUAGUUGAACUUCAUGAGCAGUAGGUAGCUUACUACCUGCUCUCUACCAGUCUUUCGACUGUUACUGUGAGAAAAUUAGAGUGUUUCAAGCAGGCUAUUGCAGGAAUACAUUAGCAUGGAAUACGAAUGUACUACAAUUGGUUAAUUGUAGAUUACUAUUAAUAGGGACAGUUAGGGGGCG